rnacentral:rRNA from 1 species
UACGUAGGGGCCGAGCGUUGUCCGGAAUUAUUGGGCGUAAAGAGCUUGUAGGCGGUCUGUCGCGUCUGCUGUGAAAAUCCGGGGCUCAACCCCGGACUUGCAGUGGGUACGGGCAGACUAGAGUGUGGUAGGGGGAGACUGGAAUUCCUGGUGUAGCGGUGAAAUGCGCAGAUAUCAGGAGGAACACCGAUGGCGAAGGCAGGUCUCUGGGCCACUACUGACGCUGAGAAGCGAAAGCAUGGGGGAGCGAACAGG